AAUACUUACAUGAUGACAAUUUCAUACCCAAAGCUGAGUGAAAAAUGCUGAGCUCAUUUAUAACAUGCACUACCAUCUGAAUAGUUUU